rnacentral:rRNA from 1 species
CAGCCGCCGCGGUAAUACGUAGGGUGCGAGCGUUAAUCGGAUUUACUGGGCGUAAAGCGUGCGCAGGCGGCCCGUUAAGACAGGUGUGAAAUCCCUGGGCUCAACCUAGGAAUUGCGCUUGUGACUGGCGGGCUCGAGUACGGUAGAGGGGGGUGGAAUUCCUGGUGUAGCAGUGAAAUGCGUAGAGAUCAGGAGGAACACCGAUGGCGGAGGCAGCCCCCUGGGCCUGUACUGACGCUCAUGCACGAAAGCGUGGGGAGCAAACAGGAUUAGAUACCCUGGUAGUCCACGCCCUAAACGAUGGGUACUAACCGUUUGGUGCGCGAUAGCGCUGAGUGGCGAAGCUAACGCGUGAAGUACCCCGCCUGGGGAGUACGGCCGCAAGGUUGAAACUUAAAGGAAUUGGCGGG